rnacentral:tRNA from 5 species
GGAGAGGUGGCAGAGCGGCCGAUUGUGCAGCACUGGAAAUGCUGUGUGGGGGCAACCUUACCGGGGGUUCGAAUCCCCCCCUCUCCG